GACGAACGCUGGCGGCGUGCUUAACACAUGCAAGUCGAACGAUAAGGCCCUUCGGGGUACACGAGUGGCGAACGGGUGAGUAACACGUGGGUGAUCUGCCCUGCACUUCGGGAUAAGCCUGGGAAACUGGGUCUAAUACCGGAUAGGACCCUGGGAUGCAUGUCCUGGGGUGGAAAGCUUUUGCGGUGUGGGAUGGGCCCGCGGCCUAUCAGCUUGUUGGUGGGGUGAUGGCCUACCAAGGCGGAGACGGGUAGCCGGCCUGAGAGGGUGACCGGCCACACUGGGACUGAGAUACGGCCCAGACUCCUACGGGAGGCAGCAGUGGGGAAUAUUGCACAAUGGGCGCAAGCCUGAUGCAGCGACGCCGCGUGAGGGAUGACGGCCUUCGGGUUGUAAGCCUCUUUCAGCACCGACGAAGCGCAAGUGACGGUAGGUGCAGAAGAAGGACCGGCCAACUACGUGCCAGCCGCCGCCGUAA
rnacentral:rRNA from 1 species